UAAUACGAAGGUGGCGAGCGUUGUUCGGAAUCACUGGGCUUAAAGCGCGCGUAGGCGGAAAUACAAGUGUCUUGUGAAAUCCCUCGGCUUAACCGAGGACGUGCUUGGCAAACUGUAUUUCUUGAGAUAAGUAGGGGUACAUGGAACUCUUGGUGGAGCGGUGGAAUGCGUAGAUAUCAAGAGGAACGCCGAAGGUGAAGACAGUGUACUGGGCUUAUUCUGACGCUGAGGUGCGAAAGCGUGGGUAGCGAACGGGAUUAGAUACCCCGGUAGUCCACGCCGUAAACGAUGUCUACUAGGUUGUGGAGGUUCUGACACCCUCACAGUCGAAGCAAAAGUGUUAAGUAGACCGCCUGGGGAGUACGGUCGCAAGGCUA
rnacentral:rRNA from 1 species